UAAAUCCUCCGAAUGCUAUAAAUACAAGCGUCCACACUCCUCUUUCAGCCCCAGCCGUCUCUAAUCAAAUCCUAUUUCAUUUCCUUUCUUUCUUUUUCGCAUAAUCGUCUAAUUUUCUUCAUUCUACCGUCUUUCGAAAUUUUAAACCCUAAUUCAAUUUCUCCACUUUCCUUCGAUUUUGUCUGUAGGUUUUAAUCGAGCGUCUGUUUUCUGUUCUACGACUGGUUUUUGUUUACUGAUUGUUGCAGUUUUCUUUUUCGAUUGAUCUAAAUGCUUCUGUUUACCCUCGUCUUGACAUCGUUAUUAACAGAUCAAGGGGAUAAAGCAGAUGCAAAUAUCUAAAGAGAAAUAGCAGACGGGCGGUCUGAAAUGAUGCCGUGUUGAUUGUCUGCAACUCCCAUUUUCAUGGGUUCCUGAGGAUGAUUAGAGCAAUCCUAAAUAUGGUUCUGUUUUUUUUUUGUGUGUGUGUGGAUUUUAGGGUAAUAAUUUGAAGUGCCAGUGAGAGUGAAUAAAUUGAUUUAAAUUCAUUGUUCGUUUUUGCUAUGAUGAAGUUUUGCCUAAAUUAUGUCUGGACAUAUGAUAUUUGUCUGUGAUUAGCUGGUGCAUACUUCUGAGCUACUUCUGUGAUAGUUCCUCAUUUUGUAUAUGUAUGGGGAAUCAUGAUCAUCUUCUACCGCGUUAAUUUGUGGGUUUUAAGUACCGAUUAUGUUCAUAGUAGCUAUCCAGAGAUUGUUGUUGGGGGUUUUAUUCUUCUGAUUGAAAGGCAAUUGUAGUGGAUUUGAUUUCUUUUACACGGUUAGUUCAGAUCUUAA